GUAGGGUGCGAGCGUUGUCCGGAAUUAUUGGGCGUAAAGAGCUCGUAGGCGGUUUGUCGCGUCGACUGUGAAAACUGGGGGCUUAACUCUCAGCUUGCAGUCGAUACGGGCAGACUUGAGUUCGGUAGGGGAGACUGGAAUUCCUGGUGUAGCGGUGAAAUGCGCAGAUAUCAGGAGGAACACCGGUGGCGAAGGCGGGUCUCUGGGCCGAUACUGACGCUGAGGAGCGAAAGCGUGGGGAGCGAACAGGAUUAGAUACCCUGGUAGUCCACGCUGUAAACGUUGGGCGCUAGGUGUGGGGGACAUUCACGUCUUCCGUGCCGUAGCUAACGCAUUAAGCGCCCCGCCUGGGGAGUACGGCCGCAAGGCUAAA
rnacentral:rRNA from 1 species